rnacentral:snoRNA from 13 species
UGGCUCUGUUUCCUGGCAGGUGGACUUGGCUCCCUCCACCUUCCCUCAGUUGAGCCUAGAGUAGAGGGGCUGACUGUCCUGUGUGGGAGAGGUAUUUAAGAAAGGAGCCUUGCCCGGGCUGUCUCAGCCUCACAUUU